rnacentral:miRNA from 1 species
UUGACUUUCUGCCCCGACGGC